GACGAACGCUGGCGGCGUGCUUAACACAUGCAAGUCGAACGGAAAGGCCCUGCUUUUGUGGGGUGCUCGAGUGGCGAACGGGUGAGUAACACGUGAGUAACCUGCCCUUGACUUUGGGAUAACUUCAGGAAACUGGGGCUAAUACCGGAUAGGAGCUCCUGCUGCAUGGUGGGGGUGGGAAAGUUUCGGCGGUUGGGGAUGGACUCGCGGCUUAUCAGCUUGUUGGUGGGGUAGUGGCUUACCAAGGCUUUGACGGGUAGCCGGCCUGAGUGGGUGACCGGCCACAUUGGGACUGAGAUACGGCCCAGACUCCUACGGGAGGCAGCAGUGGGGAAUAUUGCACAAUGGGCGGAAGCCUGAUGCAGCAACGCCGCGUGCGGGAUGACGGCCUUCGGGUUGUAAACCGCUUUCGCCUGUGACGAAGCGUGAGUGACGGUAAUGGGUAAAGAAGCACCGGCUAACUACGUG
rnacentral:rRNA from 1 species